CAAAAAUAAAAUUCUAAUGCCCCUCAGCUAUCUGAACGGAUCCCCCCUCUCGGCCAAGGGCCUUCCAGAGUUAACCUGAAAAUCUAGUUCAGGCCAGGACGGGAAGUGGGGGUCAGACAUGCCUCAUCACCCCAACAUCAACACAGACCUUCAGUCUGACAAGAAACAUGUACAAUAUCUUGUUUCUGAAGCCUGCUACCUCGAGGCUUCCUCUGCAUGAUGAAACCUUGGUCUCCACAACCUUUCAUCGUAACUCAGACAUUCCUUUCUAUUGAUAGUAACUCUUUCAACCAAUUGCCAAUUGGAAAAUGUUUACACGUGCUUAUGACCUGGAAGUCACCCUGCCCCCGCCACCAACUUCGAGUUGUCCCACCCUUUCAGACAGGACCAACGUACAUCUCGCAAAUAUUGAUUGAUGUCUCAUGUCUCCCUGCAAUGUAUGGAAGCAAGCUGUGCCCCACCAUCUUGGGCACAUGUCCUCAGGACCUCCUGAGGCUGUGUCACGGGCGCAUUCUUAACCUUGGCAAAAUAAAACUUUCUAAAUAGAUUGAGACAUGUCCCCGAUACUUUUGGGUUCACGUCUGUCACUGAGAUGGUAACUGUGGUCAUUUGAAUACCCCCUCACAUUAUCCUCAUCUCGUCACAGCAGCCCUAUUCAUCUGGCAAAUUGAGGGGGAUCACUUGGAAUAUUAUGUUUUUAUUAAAAAUACGAUUUUGGUUUUCUAAGAGAUGCUCUGGGCUGCUCUAAACCAGGGACUGCAGGGCCCACCUGUUUCUGCAAAUGAGGUUUCAUUGGCACUCAGCCAGGUCCAUUUAUUUACACAUUGCCUAGGCUCCUUUCUAGAGCUGAGUUGUUGCGUCAGGGACCACAUGGCCUUCAGAGCCUAAAAUAUUUACUCUCUGGCCCCUUAAGAAAAUGUUUGUCAGCUCCUACUCUAAACAAAACCCCUGGCCACAUGGCCUCUGGCGCUGCGUUAAGGUCUUUGCUGUGCCCUUUGCGGACACGGACACGCUAGGGAUGAACUGACUCAGAGCCGGCCAGUUUCAGGCUCCUUCCUGGAGCGAUAGGAACCUGUAAUUCUCAGCCCAUGUGACCAGUACUGGCCAAUGAAAUGCAAGCGGAACUGACCUGCGCCUCCAGGCUGAGGCAGUGAAACGCUCCUGAGCCUUUCCCCAGUCUCACUCUUCUCCCCUAUGGCAACCAGCAAACUUCCAGAGAGCGGAGGCAGGGGCCCUGCACGGGGUAGAGCGCAGACUCCGCCACUGCCUACCUAUGAUGGGCUUGCAGUGAGCAAGAAAUCAGCUGUUGCAUAUUAUGGCACUGAGAUUUUUAGGGUUGUUUGUUACAGCACGAUAAGCCUAGCUCAUUCUGACUAGGAUGGUGGUCUUUUUGCUGUCAUAAUUAAUUUCCAUUUCUCAGGGUUUAAAAGGGUGCACUGCCCCCCCCCCCCCCCCCCGCAGAUCUCAGGUGGGCAUUUUUGAACUUAACUAGAUAACAAAACACAGCUAAGACAAGUCCUUUUCUCCAGCAAAGAUGGCAAUGCUCUAAUAACUCUGAGCAUAUUAAAGAUUCUCCAAGACUCUAGCCUCUGCUGCAAAAACACAUACAAAUACCUACUACUACUGCUGCUGUGAUGAUGAUGAUGACAGCAAUAGUGAGAAUAUUUUAAAUAUGCCAGGCACGGUGGCAACUGCUUUCCAAAUAUUAUCAUAUUUAAUCUGAUCAUUGCCCUAUGAGGUAGGAAGUAUUCUGAUUCCCAUUUUAUAAAUAAGGAACCCGAGGCUUAGAGAGCAUCAGUGACUUGUUCAAGGUCACCCACAGCUGUCAAGUGACAGAACUUCGAUAAAAAUCCAGACUCCUUUAAUGGAGUAUGGAGGGAGGUCAGAAAACAUAGGAAGUAAGGGAUUGUGAUUGACAAUGCGUCCUUGCAAAGGGACAGGUUAAGAGACACAAGGGCAGCUGUCUGAGGUGUGCCAUUCACCAGCUUCAGGAGAGAAGUGGCAGGCUACCUCCAGCUAUCCAGCCCUAUCCAGCCAAGGAAGCUUGGGAGACAUGUUAGUUCCCGCCUUCAUUUCCAUCAGCAACCUCAAAGCCACCCCUUGAUAUGAUGAAAAUAACAUUGUUUGAUAAAGAGUUGAUAUUCUCAAUCUUAUGAAAAUGUGGAUUAAAGCAUCUUACUGAUUUAUUUAAUCUGAAACAAAACAGCUGUUAAAGUGAACUAAAUAUGGUCUGAGAAGGACUCCGUACUUCUUUUUUUUUUUUUUUUUUUUUUUUUUUUUUGUAGAUGGAGACUUGCCCUGUUGCCCAGACUGGAAUCCAGUGGCACAAUCUCGGCUCACUGCAGCCUCCACCUCCCAGGUUCCAGUGAUUCCACUGCCUCAGCCUCCCGGGUAGCUGGGAUUACAGGCACACACCACCACGCCCAGCUAAUUUUUGUAUUUGUAGUAGAGAUAGGGUUUCACAAGUUGGCCAAGCUGGUCUCGAACUCCUGACCUCAGGUGAUCCAGCCACCUUGGCCUCCCAAAGUGCUAGGAUUACAGGCGUGAGCCACUGCGCCCAGCCAGGGCUCCAUACUUCUAUAUUUGAGUCCUUGUGGAUGAACUGCAACCUAGCUUAAUAGGUAGACAAGAUUGAAAACCUAACUUAGGAGUAUGCGCCCGGAACAAUAGCUGAGUCUUGGCCAAGCCCAGCGGCCGUACUUCAACCACUCAUAUGCUGCUGAGUCUUUAAGCUGUGUUCAAAUAAGGCAAACACCAUACUGCAACCAAUCCAGCCAUCCUGUACCUCACUUCCAAUUUCUGUACAUCAUUUCCCUUUCUUUGUCUAUAAAUCUUCUUCCACCACGUGGCUGCAUGGUAGUCUCUGCUGUGACUCUGGGGGCUG
rnacentral:lncRNA from 1 species